rnacentral:rRNA from 1 species
AUUGAACGCUGGCGGAAUGCUUUACACAUGCAAGUCGAGCGGCAGCGCGGGGCAACCUGGCGGCGAGCGGCGAACGGGUGAGUAAUGCAUCGGAAUGUACCCAGUCGUGGGGGAUAACACAGCGAAAGUUGUGCUAAUACCGCAUACGUCCUGAGGGAGAAAGCGGGGGAUCGCAAGACCUCGCGCGAUUGGAGCAGCCGAUGUCAGAUUAGCUAGUUGGUGAGGUAAAGGCUCACCAAGGCGACGAUCUGUAGCGGGUCUGAGAGGACGGCCCGCCACACUGGAACUGAGACACGGUCCAGACUCCUACGGGAGGCAGCAGUGGGGAAUUUUGGACAAUGGGCGCAAGCCUGAUCCAGCCAUUCCGCGUGAGUGAAGAAGGCCUUCGGGUUGUAAAGCUCUUUCGGCAGGAACGAAACGGUCGUCUCUAACAUAGAUGGCUAAUGACGGUACCUGAAGAAGAAGCACCGGCUAACUACGUGCCAGCAGCCGCCGUAAAAC